AAGACUAUACUUUCAGGGAUCAGUUCUAUAGUUCGUUAUUUGAGAAAUGUGUGUCUAAAGUGGUAGGUCUCGCUAUCCAUGAUGACGAUUCAAGAUAUUACUGUUCAGAACAUGAAUCUGGUGGCUAGAAAUGACUUUGCUCAUGUUUCU
rnacentral:snoRNA from 8 species